rnacentral:rRNA from 1 species
UAGCUUGCUACCUGACCUAGCGGCGGACGGGUGAGUAAUGCUUAGGAAUCUGCCUAUUAGUGGGGGACAACAUUCCGAAAGGAAUGCUAAUACCGCAUACGCCCUACGGGGGAAAGCAGGGGAUCUUCGGACCUUGCGCUAAUAGAUGAGCCUAAGUCAGAUUAGCUAGUUGGUGGGGUAAAGGCCUACCAAGGCGACGAUCUGUAGCGGGUCUGAGAGGAUGAUCCGCCACACUGGGACUGAGACACGGCCCAGACUCCUACGGGAGGCAGCAGUGGGGAAUAUUGGACAAUGGGCGAAAGCCUGAUCCAGCCAUGCCGCGUGUGUGAAGAAGGCCUUUUGGUUGUAAAGCACUUUAAGCGAGGAGGAGGCUACUUGGAUUAAUACUCUAGGAUAGUGGACGUUACUCGCAGAAUAAGCACCGGCUAACUCUGUGCCAGCAGCCGCGGUAAUACAGAGGGUGCGAGCGUUAAUCGGAUUUACUGGGCGUAAAGCGUGCGUAGGCGGCUUUUUAAGUCGGAUGUGAAAUCCCUGAGCUUAACUUAGGAAUUGCAUUCGAUACUGGGAAGCUAGAGUAUGGGAGAGGAUGGUAGAAUUCCAGGUGUAGCGGUGAAAUGCGUAGAGAUCUGGAGGAAUACCGAUGGCGAAGGCAGCCAUCUGGCCUAAUACUGACGCUGAGGUACGAAAGCAUGGGGAGCAAACAGGAUUAGAUACCCUGGUAGUCCAUGCCGUAAACGAUGUCUACUAGCCGUUGGGGCCUUUGAGGCUUUAGUGGCGCAGCUAACGCGAUAAGUAGACCGCCUGGGGAGUACGGUCGCAAGACUAAAACUCAAAUGAAUUGACGGGGGCCCGCACAAGCGGUGGAGCAUGUGGUUUAAUUCGAUGCAACGCGAAGAACCUUACCUGGUCUUGACAUAGUAAGAACUUUCCAGAGAUGGAUUGGUGCCUUCGGGAACUUACAUACAGGUGCUGCAUGGCUGUCGUCAGCUCGUGUCGUGAGAUGUUGGGUUAAGUCCCGCAACGAGCGCAACCCUUUUCCUUAUUUGCCAGCGGGUUAAGCCGGGAACUUUAAGGAUACUGCCAGUGACAAACUGGAGGAAGGCGGGGACGACGUCAAGUCAUCAUGGCCCUUACGACCAGGGCUACACACGUGCUACAAUGGUCGGUACAAAGGGUUGCUACCUAGCGAUAGGAUGCUAAUCUCAAAAAGCCGAUCGUAGUCCGGAUUGGGGUCUGCAACUCGACUCCAUGAAGUCG